AACGAACGCUGGCGGCAUGCCUAACACAUGCAAGUCGAACGAGACCUUCGGGCUUAUGGGGGCAGGGCGCGUUACGGCGGGGGAACUUGCACUUGGGUUCGCAGUACCUCCCCGAAGGGGAUCUUAAUGCCGGUGAGGGUCAUAGGGCAAAGGAUUUAUCGCUUUUGGGUGGGCCCUCGUUGGAUUAGCUGGUUGGUAGGGUAAAAGCCUACCAAGGCCACGUUCCUUAGCUGGUCUGGUAGGAUGGCCCUCCACGCUGGGACUGCGACACGGCCCAGCCUCCUACGGGAGGCAGCAGUGGGGAAUAUUAGACACGGGGCGAUAGCCUGAUCCAGCAGUGCCGCGUGAGUGAUGAAGGCCUUAGGGUUGUAAAGCUCUUUUACCCGGGAUGAUAAUGACAGUACCGGGAGAAUAAGCUCCGGCUAACUCCGUG
rnacentral:rRNA from 1 species